GACUGCCGAUGAUUAGCCGUAGACUGGUAACAGGGAUGUAGAAGUAAAGCACGUUUAAUAUAUAACGGUUACAAAAAACUUCAUAGACGUUGCUUUGUGUUGAGUUUAUUUGUAAUAAUUAGGAAUAAAAAAAUUCUUGGUUCCUUUCAUGACUACUAGAGGUUGAAAUCUAUAAGAUGAGCCAUUAUCAAGGCUGUUACCAAAACCCACCAACAGCACCUCCACCUGCUUAUUAUCCAUCUCCACAUCCACAACCAGGCUGGAAUCCUAAUGUUCCUCCUCCCUAUCCUUCUGGGAAUUAUCAGGGACCUCCUCAGUAUGGAAAUGUGACAUAUGGGCCACCUAAUGGACCACAAGGUUAUACAAGUUUUCCUCAGCAACCUAUUAUGACACCAAAUCCCACUGGAUGGGGCCCUGCCUACCAGCCAACACACACAACAGUAGUUAUGACAGAAAACAGAUCGAGCAACAAUGAUAGAAUGGCGGACUGUUGUUUAAUAGCUUGCUGUUGGUCAUUGUUGUGUUGUUGUCUCCUAGAGGACUGAUGAAAAAUUUGUGAACCUUUUCAAAGCCUCCUCCUCUUCGUCGGUGGCUCGGCAGUACGUCUGAGGACUUAUAGCGUUAAAAAUCAGGUUUUGAUACCCGCGGUGAGCGCAGCACAGCUAUCCCGUUUUGUAAUUUUGUUUUUAAAACAAAAACAAACCCUUUGAAUAUAUUUUUGCACUUUAGAACAUCAAAAUAAUUAUUAUCUUAGUGAAAGAAAAAAAGGCUCUUAGCUUAUUGUCACCGGAAUUAUAAAAACAAACACAAUUAUGAAACUUUGAAUUAUUGCGUACUUCUAGAUUCUUCAAUUGUUUUUUGUUUUUUUAUAUAUGUUGAUAAAACGACAGUAAGCGAAAAAGUAAAGAUUUAAUGACUGUUUUGCUCAGUAGGUGGAGUUAUUAUUUUUUACAUGAGGUCAUUAGUCUGGUUAUUAAAUAGAACUUUAAUUUAGAUUAUUGUUGCCUUCUAGAUUCCAUCCUCUUUGUAAUAGAAGUGUAAAUUGUUUUGUUGUACUUUCACUUCACUAUUGUUUGGAUAAAAAGACGAUAAACGAAAAGAUUUACAAAAUA